rnacentral:lncRNA from 1 species
UUCUACCCCUUCCUCCACGUAACCAAUUCCCCCUUCCCUCCCAUGAAACCAAUCCUCCCGUCUCUCCACUUAUUUUCUGUUGAAUUUUGCUUUCAUUCCCGUCUCUCCCCAUAUUAUCUGUUGAAUUUUGCUUUCUGGAUUCCUGUAACAUGCUUCUCUGCAUCCAUAUAAACACCUUCCACUCUUACAAAACCCUACAUCAUCUUUGAUUUCGCUCUCACACACUUCAAAUUUGUUCUCAAUUGCUUACGACAAGGUAAAUUGAAGGUCUUCACAGCUGUUGAUACUGAACGGAGAUGUGCAUCUGAUUGUAAUCAACAAACAGUUAGGGCAAACUUCAAGAGAGAUCGAGCAGGUAAAGUGUGCCAGAAGUCACCAUAUUCCCCUUCCAUUGAGGUAAAAUUCGUUAAUGUUAUUAAUCAAGUAAACCAGAGUUCAUUAGGGCUAAUUCGUUACAAAAUUAGGGCUAAUUUUGAUACUACCAAGUUUAGGGUUACACACCAAAUUGUGGUUUAGAAUUUGAGAUUGGCUCUAUUAAUGUUAUUAAUCAAGUAAACCAGAGUUCAUUAGGCUUUUAUUUUAAAAGUAGUUGUUGCACCUUUCUAUUUUAAUAUGUAGCAAUAGUGGUGGUCAGAUCAGACGUUUUCCUAAUCUACUACCAGCUGAAUGUCAAGCCACGGUUCUCAUGCUGCAUUAAGGCGUUCUUACAAUUGUUUCAUUAAGAUCUUUUAUAACAAUUAUUAAUUAUUACAUAAGUGUUCGAUUUAAGUGCUUACUGUAACAAAUAUAUUGUGUUUUUUUUUAUUAUGUAAUGGUUGAAGAAAAAGAAGAGUUACCACUGAUGCUGUUUUUGGUGAUGUUGAAAAUACACAUAUCAAGUGUCUACCUAAAACAGAUAAACAUGAUGUUUCAAACUAGAUGGUGAGAUCUUUGUCAUGAUCCCCAUGAUUCAAUGAGUGUUAGAAGCAAAAAUGAUGGGGAAAGUAGUUUUACAGUAGAGCGAUCUUUAAAUACCAACACUCCAUGUGCUGAGUUUUCUGAUGCUUGGGAAGGGAAUAAUGUUUCCUUCUAAUUAUGUUUAAAUAUAGUUAAAGGUGAAAAUGGGUAGGUUGGGUAAUGUCUCUUAUAUAUAUAUUUUUUAAAUUUUUUAAUCUUUAUUUUAUUUAGAACCAAAACAGUCCUGAUGCUAAUAGUUUUAUGUGGGUUUAUAAGAGCCAUUGCUGCUUUAUCUUUAACAACAGUUGGCUGGUUGUGCCAAAAUGGCUUUGGGUUGAAACACGCCUUUUUAUAGUACGGGUGGGUUGUGUUGGGUUGGGUUGACCCACAAACUCUUUUCUGUCCAUGCUUCAAUUUUUGAUAAAUCAUGUUUAUUAUGAUUGCCAAAACGUAUAUGAAAUUGCGAAUCUUAUACUGUUGGAGAUUGUAUGCCUUAAAUUGUUAUUUAUGAUUGCCAAAAUGUAAAUGAAUCUUAAGUUGUUGCAUGUUGGAGAUGUAUGCCUUACGUUGUUAUUAUUCUUCAGAAUUCGCUGUAAUUUAUCUACGGACGUGA